UACCUUUAAGUUAGGUAAUAAGUCAAUUUUCUUAAUAUUAAUACUUACAGUACAAAAUCUGUCCUACUAAACGCAUAUUUACUAUGUAGCGCGUUUAUAAGACUGAGACAGUAAAUACGGGUGAGACGUCCUCUUAAUACAUUAAUCAAAUGACAAAUCGAAAAUGGGGAAUUUCAUCUGGUUCCAUCUCAGUUACAAUUUAUUUUUGUACAUCGGAGUCUUAUUACUAUUUUCCAGGAUAAAUGUUAGAUAAAUUUGUUCUGCAAAUAUAUACUUACUUCAUUCAUGUGAGUAUCUAUAAUGUAUUGGAAUUUAUAUUUAUGGUUUUAACUCUAGUACUAAGAUUAUUUAUGGUUUGGAUUUAUACAUUUUUUUUAAAAAGCACCCGACAAACUGGUUAUUAUUAUUUAUAUUUAUUCUUUUUUAUCUAUGAAUAAUAAUGGUUCUAGGAUAAAAGUAAAAACUCGUGAAGUGUGAACAUUUCAUAAUAUACAUGGUGAUUCACUAAGCGUGCU